GACGAACGCUGGCGGCGUGCCUAAUACAUGCAAGUAGAACGCUGAAGAGAAGAGCUUGCUCUUCUUGGAUGAGUUGCGAACGGGUGAGUAACGCGUAGGUAACCUGCCUGGUAGCGGGGGAUAACUAUUGGAAACGAUAGCUAAUACCGCAUAAAAUUGAUUAUUGCAUGAUAAUUAACUGAAAGAUGCAAUUGCAUUACUACCAGAUGGACCUGCGUUGUAUUAGCUAGUUGGUGAGGUAACGGCUCACCAAGGCGACGAUACAUAGCCGACCUGAGAGGGUGAUCGGCCACACUGGGACUGAGACACGGCCCAGACUCCUACGGGAGGCAGCAGUAGGGAAUCUUCGGCAAUGGGGGGAACCCUGACCGAGCAACGCCGCGUGAGUGAAGAAGGUUUUCGGAUCGUAAAGCUCUGUUGUAAGAGAAGAACGGGUGUGAGAGUGGAAAGUUCACAC
rnacentral:rRNA from 1 species